UUUAUGUUUUGAAUUGCGGGAUAAAAAGGGCGACAUUAAAUUGUUUGACGAUGUCAACAUCUUUUCGUCAAAACAAACAGGGAAUACGGAAAGAUUAUAGAACACUUCUGAUUGUCGAUCCACUGAUGUUGACACGAGACAUAACGGACUCGGAAAUCUAACUGUAUGAAGACAGUGAGACCUUGUAAAACUCCGCCAUGAUUUUUAGACUUUUCUUGUUACUUAUGAUCUUUUCUAUGAUUUCAGUAGAGAGGGGUCAAGCUGCUGUGAACGGACACACAGUGUUGAAGCACUUGGUCAAGAGAUGGGACCAGGAAAUGUUCGGCUGCCACUGCGCCUUCACGGUCCACUGCACGAGUGACGACAAUUGUCAUCAGCACGGCCACCAUUACCGCUGUAUAGCCGACUGUUGCGGAAUGAAAUGUCACCCGACCGCCGGAAGUUAUCAUAUUCACCAUGGGUAAGCGAAGAAAAAGACGAAGAUGUGCAUUAAGAAGUAUAUAGACCAACAAGUAUUUUGUUGAUUAGAGAUUUGCAUAUCUUACAUUCUCAAACAUGUAAUCUAUAUAUUUAAUAAAGAAUGAUUUUAUAUUAAUAA